GCUGUGUCAAGCGUGCCCUUCCUACCAGGGGGGAAUAUUUACAACGGAGGCUGCUGGGAUUACACGCCAACGAAUGUUCACAGAUGUUCUUCACGUGCAACUGCUCUGAAGUGAAUAUGAACAACCUCGCCAGAGGACUUCUGUUGCAAAUGCAUCCGAUGAUUCGAAUUAAGUUUCAUGCUCCUUUGCCCAAGGAAAACGUUCUUCAUUGCAGCAACAAUACUCAAGAACGUAAUGGAAUAGAACAAUCCACGUACAGAAAAACUUCUUCAUUUACCAAAGAUGGGCGAAAAGAAUUCGGCAAGAACUGGAGACUCGCAAGAUUGUGAACGAGAUUUAUCAGCAGACCACGAAUGAGCGUGUUAUUGGCGAUUAAGCGAAUUGCAGUUAGACGGUUUCGAAAGGAAGUUAAAAUUAGAAGUUAUCGUAAUUCUCGCACUUAUGGGGUUUCGUUCAACUGGUUGGACUGAUUUCGGUUUUACGGGGAUUGUAAACGCAAUGAUGAUGGGAUUGCAUUUCGCUUGUGGAAAUGCUCUAAGACGAGAAGGCAAGUUUGAAAUAGGUCGAAAUAUUUGUAGGUGAAGAACGCGAAAAUGAGGGAAAAUAAAUUUUAUGCAAUAAUGUAAAUCUGACCAAAAUCGAAAUAUUCGCAAGCAAUAAUUUUAUGCAGAAUAAUAAUUUUGGUGAAGCAAAACUUUAUGUGUCAUUUAUGUGAUUGAACGUUGCUUUUUUACACAGCAAUACGAAUAUAGAAAUUUCGAUUGAACAGAAUUAAAGUUUGCUUUUUUAUAAAACUGCUAACUCCACCAGUUUGUGUAAAUGCCGCAUACCUGAACAGGAUUAUAUUGUUGAACUGCUGUCGGACCAAGACAAAGAUUUUCUAAUAUUUUGAUUUUGAAACGUCAUAUUUAUUAAAUGUUUGGACUGCGAACUCUGUUUGGCUGAAAAUCUAAAUGUAUCAUGGAACGAUUUUCAACGUUUUUAGAGCCGGCUGUUACGAAGUAUGAAAAAAAGGCGGCGGAAGUUCUUUCACAUAAAUCAAGAGGAUUUCAACAGAAAAUGAAAGCAAUAAAUACAUCACCUCUUUGAAAGUUUUCAAAUAGAAGCAACUUUCUGUCAGGUAGUAAUUUUAACGAUUGAUUCCGAUAUUUAAACUGUACUAACAACUUUAAAGUGAAUGUAUAAACAAUACAAGUACUCCAUACUUUGAGAGCAAAGCUAUUUCAUUCAUAAGCAAUAAAUUCUAACACAUAUUUGAGAAGUUUUCGUGAAUAGAUAAAGCAAACUGACAUCAGAAGUUUGACGUCGCGGAAGCUAAAUCUGAUUUUUAAAUUUGGGUAAAGGAAGCGCUGCAAGUGGGAUCGAAGGAAUGUCAAGUGGUCGACCGAAACAUUGAUUAAAAAGCAGGCGAGAAUUUUUUCAAGAUUUUCUAGCGAGGGAUUGAUCGUCCCGGUCGAUCAAGAGCGAUGCCUCGUUCCUUCCUUGUGAAGAAAGUGAAACACCCUGUUGAUCAUAGCAACCGGUGGCCUUACCAUGAACCAACUGAAGCGGCCACUCCGCCCCCUGGAUUCACCAUACACUACACCAACGAAUGUUGCCGCCAGAGACUUCAACCAUGCAAUGGACGCCUGCAUGCAGUUUCUCAUCAUCGUCGAAGCUCUGUGUUGCAAGGAAACCUAACAAUGUGAACAUUGUGUUGGAAUGUGUGGAAACAAGUGGCAAUCGUUAGGAGCAAGGUCCGAACUCUGCGGUGGAUGACCAAAUAACUCCCGUCUGAAAUCAUCCAAGAGCCGUCGAUUUUGAAUGUCUACGUUGGAGGCAUGUAUUGUCAAGAAUGAAAAAAACCUUGAAACUCAAAUUUUCUCGACGCUUGUUUUGUAUCGCUCUUCUUAACUUCUUUAAUGUUUUGAAAUAUCUCUCACUUUUUAUUGUUUCAUCACGUUCGAGGUAAUCCACCAGAAGCACAACUUUCCCUGUUCCACAAAACAGUUGCCAAGAUCUUUCUUGAUGUAUGCAAACAUUUACUUGGUUUUCCUGGGAGAACUUUUGUGACCCCACUCCAUAGACUGCUGUUUUGUCUCACAAGUCACGAACUUUACCCAAGUCCUGUCUCCUGUUAUGACACAAUCCAGAAGUGGUUCACUUUGUUCGUGGUACAUCUCGAAAAAUGUCAAAGCUGCUGCAUUCCCUGCUUUUUGUGGUGUUCUGACAAGAGUUUUGUUACCCAUGUUGCACAAAACGUGUGAUAGCCUAGAAGUUGCGUCACGUCAUCAAACAGCAAAGUUAGUAAAAUAAGAGGAAGCUCUAGUGAGAGCUCUUAAAUUUUGAAGCAGCGGCUUUCAUGAAUCUUUUCGUUGAUUUUCUAGUAUACCAGUUAAACAUUAAGAAUGCUCGACCAGCCACUUCUUGCUUCCUCUUCAAAAAUAGUGUGGCCAUUUUUUAACAUUAUGCACCAUUGUAUCACCCCGGGUUUACUCAUUAUGUCGUUUCCAUACACCGUACAAUGUUCCCGAUGAAUUUCAAUUGGUCUCGGGGUUUUGCGAACAGAACUUUAAUCACUAAUCGCACUUCACAACUGAAUUUUCUAUUGCCGCGCACAUUUUAAACAUUCGCAGUGAACAAAGCAGAGGCAACACAUACUGCCAACAAUUAGAACCGAAUGCGUAAGUAUUCAGUAGACACUCUGAUGCCAAGAUUGGGCUGCUAAUGCUAUCUCUCGUGGCGCAGUGGCAAAGCGUAAGUUGCUUUCUGAAUUGCCCUCGUAGUAAUAGAAUAAUAGAAAUCUGUAUAAUUCUAUUCUUAAGUUAAUGUAGGACUUGUUCAAACAAUUUUAUGGAGUAGCUUUUCGUAUUUCGUCCACGAACGCAUAUCAUCUUAUGACGUUAUUUAUCAAACUUAAUUACGUGAAAUUCAUUCUUUUCGUUUAAGAUCAAAAAAAGAUAGUAAAAUUUCCAAUGAAAUGUGAAAAUUACUUGAUUAAUGUUCUACAGAACCAGAUACUCUUUUUGGAUAAUAUUAUUUCCAGUUUUAAUAUCGAAAUAGAAGAAACUGCUUUGUUAUUUGACUGAGUAAAAUUCGGAAUGAAAAAGCAGAAAAUGGAGACGAAAAAUAAUAGAUAAAGAUAAAAAAUUAUUAUGUAAUUUUCAGAAAAACUGAUAAUUACGAUAUCUAGUGAUAUGUAAAUAAAGCUGUAAAAUUUUAAUAAAAAGUUAUUACAAUA